AUGAAGAAGGGAGCUAUUAAAGCUGAAAAGAGUAAAGAAGCAAAGGUGAGUAGACGUCAACGAGUAACAGUGAAGACCCAGCCAUGCCUGGAGUAAAUUAAGGUGAUCUAUGUCUCUGGCUUUCCAAGCCAGCAGGAAAUAAUCCUAAAGGAGAUAAACAUCUAAAAGAAAGGAACGAAAACAGGUUUUAUUUAUAAACGUCUCACUGUUGGAACCUGCAUGAAUGAAAGCUGAAUCUCAAAGAUCAGACAUGUUGGACUUGGAAUAAUGUCCACGUUAUGAUUCCAAUCUGUGCUUAAAUCUGAACCACUCAGUUCUUCAUGCUUGUUGGAAUCCUUCUAAAAUUGGAAUUUCCUGGGAGAUAUCCAGUACUUUUUGGGCUGUAAACAGCAAAACAAACAGCCUUUCUUGUAAUAUGCUAUGUCUAGUGCUAACUGAAUUCAAGAAGUUUAUGGGUGUGGGGAAAGUAACUUGAUUUCUUUGCAAACUUACAAAUUUGCUUCAAUUUAAAUUUUGACCAAAAAUUCAUCUCAGGAAUAUGUUUUGGAAUAAUCCUUUGCUAUUAGUUAUAAAUAUGGCAAAUAUUGUUUAAACAAUAAAAUAUUAUUUUAUACAAUAAAUUAUGGCAACAAAUUCCUUGUAAUGAUAGAUUUUUUAAAAUCUUUAAAUCAUAGAUAAGGAUUUAUUAUGCUCCAUGUCAAUUAUAUG
rnacentral:lncRNA from 1 species